rnacentral:lncRNA from 1 species
GACUUGAGAAGGUUAACAUCAGGAAAAUACACAGCCAAGCCAAGAUUCUAGGGACAGUUGUGACAGUUGGUGGAGCAAUGCUUAUGACUGUUGUGAAAGGACCUUUGAUUCCUUUGCCUUGGGCUCAUCCUAGCGACAACCAUCAAGACUCAUCAAAUCUUGGUGUCAAACAAGAUCUUACCAAAGGCGCACUUCUCAUUGCUACCGGUUGCAUCUGUUGGGCCGGUUUUGUCAAUCUCCAGGUAACUUUAAAGACCAAGAUUCUACAUAUUAGAAACCGGUUAUAUUGAACCACUAAAUUAAUGAUUUGGUUAUGUGCAGGCGAUCACGCUUAAAUCGUACCCGGUGGAGCUAUCCUUGACAGCUUUAAUAUGCUUAAUAUACGUUCGAGUUCAAGUACGACUGAAGAUUUUCGUCUGUAAUGUUGCUAUUGUAUUCAUUAUGGGAGCUCAUGACCCACCUCUUCUUGGCACCAUUGACAUAUUUCAGCAACUUCCUAAACCAGUUAACAUAAAACCAACAAUAUUUGCCUUGAUGAUUGAGUUUUAGAAUCCAAGCGUUUUCUCAAACCAGUCAACACAAAACUAACAAUUUCUUCAUUGAUGAGAGAGUUUAAGAACCCAAUCGCACGCUCAUCCAUAUCAAACACCAUGUCAUCUGCAACUAAGGUAUUACAUGUAAACAUCAUAAUCAUACACAAUCUACUCUGAAGGCCAACUCGAAGAAGUUCAUUCAAAUAUGGCAUUAAAUUAAGAUGGGCACAAUGAGUAGCUAGAAAGAACCAUUUUAUCAAUUGGCCUAAGAGUGCCGUAUUAUACAUAAUACAACUAGCCGCAUGUACCCAAAGAAAGAAGGUCAACUGUCCUAAGAGUAUCAAAUAAUCUGGAAAUACCAUUAGCCAAAGAAACAAUAUAAGAGAAAUUCCAAAAGCCUAAGUUCAGAUACCAUGAUCAAUAAAUGUCCUUUUUAUACCUUUCCAGUAGCUAAUCACUCCAGCUUCAUCAUAAACCUCUUGAAUAUGUAUCACAUAAAUUGUCUUAAUCUUGUCUUGAGAAGUUUAUAGACAGAGCCACCAGCCCUUUGGACAAAGCCAAAAGAAGCAUGGGAAUAAUAUUUCUUUAGUAUAGUGGUAUAAGCUUGAGUUAUUGCAUGUCAAUCUGGGUUGGAAACUACAGUAAUGCAUAUUUUCUUUUAUUUUAUUUUAAAACCAGUGGCGCUUAUUUUGUUUCGCCUCUAGUCUUAUAAAACCUAGGACCUGCUCUGUUUAUAGAGUUUGAAGUCAGAUUCAGUUUCAUAUUACAAUCAGGUGAAACCAACUUCUUCUGUUUGUAAAUACGUGAAGCUGCGUCAUGCCGUAUUAAAGGUUCCAUGUGGACGCGGCUCAACUGGGACAAGAGUUUCUACAUCAGCAAGAGUGACUCCGAGACCGCCUUUUGACCUUUCGGUAUAUUUCUGCUUUGGUGUAGUUCUUUAAUAAAACAAUUUAAAACUAUACAUGUUAAUGAAAGCUCAAGUGUACGUCGCUAUCAGAGAAAUAUAGAUUAAUUUAGUUUCUUUGAAAAAUACAUGAUUACAACUAGGAAUGUUCGAUUCGCAUAAAACAUAUACCAAUCUGAAAAACUGAUUAUCAUAUGUAUAAUGUUAAUAAACUUUUUCACUAUCCGAAAAUCUAUUCUGAAUUGAACGAAAGAAGUAAAAAACAAACUGAAAUUGUUUCUUUUUUUAAGAUAUUGAUUAAAACUAAAAUCCAAACUUAGUAGUACCAUACCGUUAUACUAUAUCGAUUUAAUGUUUUCAGUGACCACUUCUAGAGGUUUUUAUUUAUAUGUAACUAAUUAAACAUAUCCAAAUUUGUGAAUAUGCAAAAGUUUAAAGAUAUUGGACGAUGAUAAAAUCGAACAGAAUAUUACAAAAAAAAAUAGGCAUAUCACAUGUAAGUGGAACAAAGAAUAGUAUAUUAAUGGUAACGAAACCAACCCCAAAGAGCACACCAACACAGCACAAUAUAGCACAUACAUCUGAGAGAUGUCGUGGCACUAUCUUAUCAACCCUUUCCGUUUUAUAUUAUAUUAAAUUAAAUCUUUUUUUCACUCUGGCUGCUUAAUCUUUUCUUAGACAAUGUAAGCCAUACUUUCAUUUUGCUUCUUUAUAUAGCCUCACAUGGCUGUUAAUUCAAGAAAAUAUUCUAGACGAUACUUUUAAGAUUAAUUCUAAAAAUUGAAAUCAAAAUUAAUAUUUUCUGCACUACUGGUGGCAGUGAAUAAAUUUCAUCCCGCACUCCACCACUUGUUUUGGCGGAUAUGCUUAUAUUGAAAGAUCAGUAUUCUUUACACAUUUUGUAACUUUCCUUUUUCUUUCUCUUUUGAUCGAAAUUCGUGAUGUCUUCGACUUACAAAAUUUUAACUAAAAAUACAAACAAAAACUAAAAUGUAUUCUUCGAGUUUUUGACGUGAGUCUAAACAUAUAUACUUACAUUGUUGUUGGAUAAAUCAUACUCUCUACUCUACCGGUUGAGUGGUGGACUUUAUUUUAUUUUAUUUUUUAAUCGAGUCAGAGAAGGCUUUCACGCAUGGUUUUAUGCAGCUGGAUGUUACUAGGAUUAAUACCACUCGUUGAAAAGCGUUUCCGUAUUACAGAGAAAAAAAUAUAUGAAUCAUCGGUUUUUGAUAAAUAGUACAAGUUUUGUUUUCUUUUUAGUCUAAAGUUUUGUUUUCUUAUCAUUUUGUUUUCGCUUUUAUUCGAUUAUGUCUUAGGUUAUGACUCUUAAUUUAUAGUCUUUUCCUUCUUAUAGCUGGAGAAUUUCGAAUUGACACAAACUAUAAUUAAAUACCAUAGAAUGACUCAAACCAUAAAAUCUCUCAAUAUCAAAUGAAAAUGGUCUUUCAACUAGUAGACUAUCAUAAACUGGUUAUUUAUGUUUAGAUAUAGUUCUAAUUUUUGGUUUUGUGAUGUAGAUAUAGUUGUACGGGUCUGACUGAUAAAUUUGAGAUAUUUUUUGUUGGUUGAUGUUUUCUUAUCAACAGAUCUUCAUCGAAUAAAAUUUCGUAUAAAUACAAAAGAUAGAAUAUGUUGAUGUUUUCUUAUAAAUAGUUAUCUAUAACGAAUCAAGUAUCAAAUCAAUGAUGAUGCUUCCGCUACUUCAAAAAUUCAGCUAAGCUGAUUCGAUGACAACUCAGCUUGCCAAAUUUGUCCAACAUGGUGGGAGAGAACAACAUAUUCACUCCACCUUCUUACGUUUUAUGUGUAAGUUCAUUGAUUCAAUAUCUUAAAAAGGUUCAUGAUAUGUAUUCACGCAUGAUAUUUGAUAUAUCCCAAUUAUAGAAAGUUUUAACUUGCACAUAAGGUAUUAGGAACGUAUUUAGAUUUGAAAGUCAUUAACAACCAUCAUGUUCAUGACAAAUCGCAUAUCUGGAACAGGUUAAGGUACAAAAUAAAACAAAAAGUCACUGAAGAUGGGGAAUAUAUUUCGUCACGGACGGUUCACCGCAUAACAUGUUAUGCAUACGAUAUACACGAUUAGUUAGGCUGUCGGGAAUUAAACUUUGUGGAAUUCGUCAGCUAUAAGCAGUAUAUAUUCCCUUAUUAUUACUAUUUUUUUUGUAACUGGCAUUAUUACUAUCAUUGUUCUAUGUAGAGAUAGAGGUUCCAGGUGGGGAGAAUCACAAAAACUGCCAAAUAUCAUCAACCACGAUGUUGGCCAAAAGUUGUUUUGUUAUCAUUCUUCCACAUAUAAUCCGAUUCGGACGCAUUAUGCUUUUUCCAUUUGUUAUAUGUGUUAUGUGGACAUGUAUUCACAUUUUUAAUUAUAUUUCCAGCUUGAUUGAAGUUAUAUUUAAUUUGGUGGGUUCAAUAAUUCGUUGUAAUCUACAUGGAUCCACUUGUGUUUUGCAAUAGAAUCUCAUUAUCCCCAUUUGUUGGCUAUAUAUAAUAUUCGCUUGGCCUCCUUUUUUGAUGACUCCUUAUAAAUGUAACAUCUCAAUUUCAGUUUUUGAUGUAUAAUGAAAGGUUAAUAAAAUAUAUUCUGCUACUUAUGUCAUUAAACUUUACAUAUCUUAAUUUUUGAAUACACAUCUAAAAAAAACUACAAAUUUAAAUGCGUUUAAAAUGGAAAAGUAAAAAGCAAGAUAACAUAUCAGAAAGUAAUUUUCAAUACCGUAUGGUUAAGAUUAAAGCACAAAACAUUAUAUGGUAAUUAUAGAGUUAGUAAGCAAAAUUUGCAAGUCUACAGUACUCAACAUAUACGAAACCAUCAAAAUAUAUAUUGACGACAUGGUAAUUUUGGAUACUAAAGCAUGUGGACAACUUGAUAUUGUUUUUUUAGUGUACGUAACCGGAUAAGGAUUAAGCAUGCUAUUUUUUUUGUAGGAAACAUAUCUCAAGUCUAUGGAAUAUCCAAUGGUAUUUUGAAUCCCGUGAGAAGUACUCAGUUUCCUUGGUAAAACAAACCAACCCGUUAUAUUUUAAUUUUAUAACAAUUUGAGUUGAUGUUUUCAUCAUCAUCACGACCACCAAAAUGAUUAUGUAUGUGGAUAACAUCUAAAGAAUGUUUUUUAUUCUAUUAUCCUCACUAUUAGACUUGCAUUACUAAGUGGAAUCCCUAGAAUUCAUCCUAACCCAAAAGUCAGAUUUUAACUUUUAAAUUCACAUGGAAAAUAAUACGAAACCCUAAAAACUGACCUAUAAAACCAACUCAUACUCUCCCACAUUUCUCCAUCAGCUCUUUAAUUUCUUACAUCAUAUUUCCUAUUUCUCACUUUAUACCAAAGUGCGUAGAGAUAUGGCUCUAAACACAUGGAAGCCAUUCCUAACUGUUGUUUCUCUACAAUUCGGAUACGCUGGACUAUCGAUCAUAGCGAAGUUCGCUCUGGACCGAGGCAUGAGCCCUCACGUUCUAGCUGCAUAUCGCCAUAUCGUCGCAACUGUUUUCAUUGCUCCAUUUGCCUUUUUCUUGGAUAGGUAUAUAGUAUUUUCAUUUACCAUACUUAAAAAUUGUAUUAUGGUCAUGCAUGUGCAUGUAUACGUUUACGUAUAGUAUACGUAAGUACGUAUUUGUAUCAUGUCUACGUAUUCUUUACAAAAAAAUAUAGCUACAAAAAUACGCUUUCUGAUUAUCUUAGUUUAAUGUGAUUUUGAAAUGAACAGAAAAAUACGGCCAAAGAUGACGCUGCCCAUCUUCUUCAAGAUAUUGUUGCUCGGAUUAUUGGAGUAAGAAUAAUUGAAUUAUAUUUCGUUCAUCUUUUUUUUUAACUUUUAAACAUUUAUAUAUUGAUUUCUUAUGUUUUAAGUCAAUUGAAUUUGCUUUAUGUGUUUAUAGACCAACAAUUGAUCAGAACUUAUACUACACCGGUAUGAAGUACACUUCCGCGACUUUCACAGCUGCAAUGACCAACGUUCUUCCAGCCUUUGCCUUUCUUAUGGCAUGGAUCUUCAGGUCAGUAAACACAGUUUUGUUUCGUUUGAUGUGGUUUGUGUUUCUCUCCAGUUUAAAGUUUGUUGGUCUAAAGGAUCAAUAUAUUUUAACGUGUAGACUUGAGAAGGUUAACAUCAGGAAAAUACACAGCCAAGCCAAGAUUCUAGGGACAGUUGUGACAGUUGGUGGAGCAAUGCUUAUGACUGUUGUGAAAGGACCUUUGAUUCCUUUGCCUUGGGCUCAUCCUAGCGACAACCAUCAAGACUCAUCAAAUCUUGGUGUCAAACAAGAUCUUACCAAAGGCGCACUUCUCAUUGCUACCGGUUGCAUCUGUUGGGCCGGUUUUGUCAAUCUCCAGG